CCUGUGCCAGCAUUUGCGCAUGACGGUACCUGCCCUCUGGUGCAGAGUUGAGAACAGAGGAAGUUCAUUCAAGGAUCAGAGUCAGCCUGAGAGGCCACACUGCUCCUUCUCCCACAUUCACUGCCGCUCUUGCUCUGCACACAAUCCCAGGAAGUCUGCGGAGACACCCUGAGCCGCCACCCGCUGCUUCUGUGCCUCUUCAGCUGCCGCCUGUGGGUCCCACAUGCCGGGGACUUUUUCUGCUCCACACUCUCCUGCUUUGCUCCCUGAGUGUCCUGAAGCAGGGGGAUGUGCUCCCAGGACUUUCCAUGGCAACUGCUCUUCUGGGGAAGAAAAUCUGCUCCACUUGCAGGAUACUUAAGUCCAGCAUUGGAGGAAGCAUAAUUGAAAGAGCCCACAGCUGAGAUCAUGGCACAAAGACACUUGCUUCCAUGGGAGAAUGACUAAGAAUACUGUCUUGGUUGGGAUUGGCAAAAGUCAUCAUGAAGAGGAUCAGGGACCUCUGCAUCUCCAAGUGUAUUUCUACCUCCCAGCUGUGAACCCAGAAUAGGGCAUCCAUUGAUUAAACAAUGAUUCCAUACUUCCAUGUGGUGCUUCUCUGCUUAA